UGAAGGCAGCAGAGUACAGGGAAAUCCUGAAGAAAUACUGAUGCAGUCUGCAAGAAGCCUGUGCUUUGGGAGAUUUGUUUUCCAGCAAGACAAUGAGCCCAAUUAUAAAGCCAAAGCUACACAGAGUCCAGAUCUUGGAUCCAAUUGGUCACCCACAAUCUCCCUGCAAUAUAAUAGAGCCUGAGCAGUCUUACAAAGAAGAAUGGAAAAAAAAUCAUGGUGUCCAGAUGUGGAAAGCUGAAGGAGACCUGUGGACAUGGACUCAAGGCUGGCAUGGCUGCCUAAGGUGUAUCUACUAACUACGGACUUGAAGGAGCUGCUUCUUACGACAAAAUGGAUCCCGAGUACAAGUUAGUCAAAGGCCAGGAGAGUCACGCUCAUUACAUCUGUUACACCAGCUCACUUCUUCUACUGCUUGAGACCCACUGAAGAACGCACCUCCCAAUGACAUCACCACCAACCCUUCCCACCGAUGACAUCCUAUCUGUUUCAUAACCCACCUACUGAAGACCUCAUUUCCUCUUCUGGCCACUCUGAUCUAUCCCCUUCCUGUUUCAGCCAUAUUUAAGAAACCAGUCAAUCUCUGGUAGUCAUUUCUGUUUUGGACUCCGAUUUGUAAAGAUGUGUUUCAUUUGCCAGCAAUAUUUUUCAGUUUACGGGAUGGUCAUCCCCAAACCUUUUUCAUGCUCUUUACCCGGUUCUUUUACAGUAUUUAUAAAAAAACUUGACAUAGGCAGGGGUUCAAAGACAGGAUUCAGUUGCUGUGAUGCAGCAGUACAAGUAUUAACUGCACUAGAACUCCAAUAACUGUUUGUUUUCUGCCUUGCGCCCUGUUUGGCUGGGAUUGGCUCCAGCUGACCCCCUGUAGUUAGGAUAUAGCGGGUUGGAUAAUGGAUGAUCAUGUAAACCCCACACAGACAGUAUUGAAUUCAAGUUCCUGUAAUUCCAAGGCAGCAAUGUAAAGUACUUUGAUAGGCUGAAUAAUCUACCAUCAUAAGAACAAAAGAACAUACCAUCAUUUUUCCACUUUGCGACUCAAAAAUAUAAUAUUCCUUUAAAUAAAAAUAAUAAUGUUAAUUGCCCCAACCUGUACAAGCUUGCAUGCUGGGCUCCAUUCGCACAAUUUGCUUACUUAGCUAAAAAAAACAAAGUGCUGCCUCACAAUACACACAACCCAGUAAAGUAGUGUGAAGUAAACUGUGUCUGCUUCAUCGCAUGCCGUGUGUUGUAAUAACAAAAGGGUUAUUUAAAAAGAAACUCUGUGCUCUCCACUUUCUGGUCAUUGACUCU